AAUGCAUUUUGCAAAAAAAUCCUCGAAAAUUCCCGACCAAACAGGCGGUCCUCCCACGCUCUUCUUCCUCGCCGCACGCCGCCGCUCCACUCGUACGCCGCAUGCCGCCGCUGCUCCGCUCGUACGCCGCACGCAGCGACGGAUAGCUUGCCUCGCUACCUCCCUCCGCCGUCUAGCUCCACUGGGCUGCUCCCGCUCCGCCGUCUAGCUCCCCCGUGCUGCUCGCCCUCCGCCUUCGAAGGUUGGGUUUUUCUCGCUACACCCUGCCCGCCGGCUCGCUGACCGCCUCCGCCAAGCGCCCAGCCGUCGCGCGGGCUGGCCGCCUCCGCCGUACUCCCUGCCGUCGCGCUCGCCGGCCCCCUCUACCUCCGAGGCACGGCCUCCUCCUGCCGCUGAAACCUCCCGCGGCCGUGCCUCCACCACGGGUCACUUCGCCUCCGGCUCGUCUCCCCUCCCUCAACAACAAGGUCGUCCACAAGUCGUCGCUCCUAUCCAGCCCGCCGCUGCCCAGCUCACCAGCUAUCCAUUACGCCAAUGUGUCCCUCAAGAGGAGGCAGAAGUGCAGAACAACAAACAUCGGCAGAGGAAGCAUGACUGAAGAAGUGCCUACUUUCUGAAAGAAUUAUGGAGCCAACAGCUAUCUUAGAGCCAUCCUCCACUCUUUGGCACCUAUUUUGCAGAUGGUAUUGCCUGCUAUCCGAAGCCCUCUGAAAAUUGCCGUUCUGAAUUUUAGAACUGCGAAGCCGAAGCAAACAGGUUCUUCCUGUCAGGAGAACAGAUCAAGUUUAUAGCUAGCAGAAACACAAGAGCUGCUGAGUUUUUCUGAACCUAUAUCUCUAUGCAAAAUUUCUGAAUUCUCAUGAUGUCAGAUGUUGAGCAGAGCUACAUUAUGAUCAAACCUGAUGGUGUUCAACGUGGUCUGGUAUGCGUUUCUUGACUUUUGUCACUGUUUUUGUUUAAUUUCUGUUAUCUGUUUCAGUUCAGAUCAAACACGUAGCAUGUGAAUUAUAAAAUAAACUGAAAUUGUGAACUGAAUAUUACAUGUACACGUAUAUUCAUCACAAAUUCUUGAAUUAACUGAAAUUCUCAGAAAAUUCAGUUAACUGAACUAUAACAAAUUCAUUUUUCAUAAUUUUUAACUAUCCAUGUUGCAUUAUGCAGAAAUCUUGACCCUAAACACAUUUUUUCAAGUGCAGAAUCUAAUUAACUGAAUUAUGCAGAAAUCUUGACCCUGAAAUAUUUUCUUCAAAAGUUUCAGAACUUUAAGUUUCUAAGCUAAAACAGAAUUCGCAGUGGGUUUCUAAGCAAUGUUACAAUUAUCAAAAGUCAGGGCACUAGUGCAUCUGCAAUUUUGAGUUUCUAAGCCAAAGCCUAGAAGCCAUCUUGUUCCUGAAAAUAUUUUCAGAUAUCAUCCCAUAAUCAUCACAGAAACCAUCCCAAGUACAACUAGUUACUGAAACAACUGAUGUAGUUACUGAAACUAAUACUACAACUAACAUUCAUCACACAACUACUGCAGGCACAAUUCUCUGAACAUCAUCACACAAUUGCAGAGGUUGUUGUUAUACAAUUCUGUAGAGGAACAUCAUCAUCACACAAAUAUCUGAACAUCAACUAAAUUCUUGAGUUAACUGUUACAAUAUGUAUAUCAUGAAGCUGUUACAUCAGUACUGAAAUUAGGGACAAAUUCAGUUAACAGACACAACUAUUAACUGAACUGGAACUGAACUAGGGACACCUGAUUUUCCUGCACAUGCAGCCAUGCCACAUCAGCAACUUGCCACAUCAUCAUUGUUAGUGUUUUUUUCUGUGAGAAAGUGGCCGGGUUAAUUGCCCCCGGAUGGACUCAGCUGCCCGCCUCCCUGCAGCCCCUCCCCAAUCCUGAUCUUUCUCCUUCCACUAACCGCCGGGUAGUGCUGCACUACACGUCCGUUCCAUCGGCAUUUCAAGCGAUUCCCCUGCCUCGUCUUUUAUCAUCCGUCUCCUCAUCCUCUUUUCCCUCAUCGCCCUCGUGAAGAGAAACUCGGUUUCGACUGUGUCUCGGUUUUUCCUUCCGGCGAUUCCGCCCGUCCCCCCCCCUAGCCGCCCUCGAAUUGGCGGCUCCGCCCAUGCCAGGCAGGCGGGCAUUGCGACGACGGCCACAAGCACCGCCGAGGACGUAGAUUCAAGAGGAGAAGGCAGCCGCGGAUUUGAGAAGGCAGCAACAGAUUUAGUGGAUGGAAAUCGGGAGGAAAUUGCGAUGGCACGGAGAAAGGAAAAUCAGGAGGAUUUUGUUCUCCCAACGUUUCUCUUUCCAGGCGUUUCCCUCGGGACAUCUUUAAUUCGGUAGCCUAGCAGUCGAUAUACAGUGGAUUUCCUAAUCCCACCCAAUUCGGGAGGAGGGGUGGCGGCCCCUGGGUCAUGCCGCCGUAGCCCGUAGCCCCGUGCCGCCACGCCUCCAGAGAAGCUGCUCCGCCGCGGGAGGGACACUGCCGCCACAUCGACCAUUGACAGGGGCGUCGGCGUUGUGGCUAGGGGAGAGGUGGAAGCCGGCAGCGAGAACGAGGCAUGCAGUCAAUCUCAAUAGCCACAAAAAUUCAGAACCCGAUGAAUGGAGUUGACCAAUCGUGUUCACUUUUAAAGAUCCGUCUGGAAUCAUCGUCUUCCAGCACAGCUGUGCACCCCUGCUCAGACGUCUUCUCCGGCAUCAACCUCCAAUUUGUAUGAAAUGAGGAUCAAGAUCAGAAUAAGGCGACGUCCUCCUCUUCAGCAGCAGAGGAAGACAAGCGCCACCUCGUCCUCGUCCUCAGAAGAAGGCGAUGACCUCCUCUUCGGCAACCUCCUUCCUCGGUGGCAGACGUCGAGGGAGCUGCAGAGGCGGGGGAGACUCACGCAGGAGCGGCACGGCCGUAUGAGGGAGUGCCGCUAGCAAGCCCCCCCCCCCCCCCCCCCGCCCGAUUGCUCCUCCACGAUUGCAAUCCACCAGGUCCGACGUCCGCGAGAUGGAUUGCCUCUGCGAGAUUGGAAUCGGCUCCGCGAGAUUUGAUGCGUCCGCGAGAUUGGAUGAGGCUGGUGGGAGCUCUGCUUGCCGGACGGUGGAAGUUGGCGGGGAAGAUUCCAGUUUUGAUUUUUCAAUUUGAAUCCCAAAUUUCAAACGAUCCGCAUGUUUGAGGGGUUUUUGGCAAAAUUUAAAUUAAACUAGAGGGGAGGAAGGAUGCGACAUCCUUUUAUGGACAGAGGGAGUAGUAUUUGUACAACAUCGUUGAGCACCGUAAGCAAUUUUGAUACCUUUAAUUUGUACAAAUAUUCACACAGCAAAAAUUCAAUAGAAAAAUUGUUUUGAUGUAGUUCUAGGCGCCUAGCCCACGACCAAGUUUGUUUCCGAGUGUGGCAUUCGGCAAGGCCAUGACAACGAUCCAAACGAUCGUGCCGCAGAUUGAUGAGGUGGCAUCAUCCCAACCGGCACCGUCGAUGGAGAGUGGAGACCUCACAAGUCGGCAGAGGAACGAAAUGAUAAAAUCGAUCCAGCCCUGACCUCUCCUGAGCCUGUGGAUUGAUUCUGUCGUCCUGCGCUUAGAGAUGGGGAAUUUGAAAGUUGGAACGACACCAGACGAUCGGACGAACUCGUGCAGUCGUGUCGUGCAAGCGAUCGAGGGAAGAAAAAAUCGGGAGUUGCUGGACCAUGAGCGGAGUGCUACAAGAAGCAACCAAUAGUAUUAUUUUUCUUCCUUGUCAUCUAGCGAUUAUAAACUCUCAGCUACCUAGGCAAUCCUGGCGAGAAGUUUAACCAGAGGUGUCCGUCGAGUGGAUUAUCAUUUGAUCUUUACUAUCUCCGGGCAUUAUCCCUUGAAUCUCCAUGGAGUUU